AUUGAACGCUGGCGGCAGGCCUAACACAUGCAAGUCGAGCGGAUGAAGGGAGCUUGCUCCUGGCUUCAGCGGCGGACGGGUGAGUAAUGCCUAGGAAUCUGCCUGGUAGUGGGGGCUAACGUCCGGAAACGGGCGCUAAUACCGCAUACGUCCUGAUGGAGAAAGUGGGGGAUCUUCGGACCUCACGCUAUCAGAUGAGCCUAGGUCGUAUUAGCUAGUUGGUGGGGUAAAGGCCUACCAAGGCGACGAUCCGUAACUGGUCUGAGAGGAUGAUCAGUCACACUGGAACUGAGACACGGUCCAGACUCCUACGGGAGGCAGCAGUGGGGAAUAUUGGACAAUGGGCGAAAGCCUGAUGCAGCCAUGCCGCGUGUGUGAAGAAGGUCUUCGGAUUGUAAAGCACUUUAAGUUGGGAGGAAGGGCAGUAAGUUAAUACCUUGCUGUUUUGACGUUACCAACAGAAUAAGCACCGGCUAACUUCGUG
rnacentral:rRNA from 1 species